AUGGCGAAGCAGCAGCCCCUGCGCUGCCUCAUCUACAUAGAAGUCACCCUGUGUGUGACGUCACUGACAGUGUCUUUCCCAGUGGCGGGCCGCUCUGCCACUCAGCCCACCAAUCCGCUGCCUGAGGCGGUGGGGGAAGUGACUCUGCCUCUCCCUUCUUUCCCUCCCUCCCUUGUCCUCUGGGGAGCCAUUGAGAAAAGCACAAUUUACAAGGGAAUCAUUCUGGUGAUCUUCAAGGCUAGUGUCAGCCAUUUCAGAAUACUGUUUAAAGAAUUCUCCAUCGAGGGUCCCUGUAGAACCACUGUUGCACCGCUACUCCGUGCCGCACCUGGGAAGCAUUGCGUUGCUGCAUUGCGUCCCACUGGCUCCACCACGUUGAAGAAAUUCGGCAAGAAGGACGAGGAGUCAAGUGGAGGCUCCAGCCCAUUCCAGCACCUUGAGAAGAGUGCCAUACUCCAAGAGGCCAGUGUAUUUAAUGAAACUCCCAUCAAUCCUCGGAAAUGUGCCCACAUCCUCACCAAGAAUCUUUAUCUCAUAAACCGUGGGAAGCAUCUGGGGACCACAGAAGCGACCGAGGCCUUCUUCGCCAUGACCGAGUUGUCAGUCAGAUGUGCUGCUUGACCAUCAAGGAGAUGUCUUGCAUCGCAGAGGAUGUCAUCAUUGUCACCAGCAGCCUAACAAAAGACAUGACUGGGAAAGGAGACAACUACUGGGGCCGGCUGUGCGAGCCCUCUGCCAGCUCACUGACAGCACCAUGCUGCAGGCUACUGAGCGCUACAUGAAACAGGCCAUUGUAGACAAGGUGCCCACGUCUCCAGCUCUGCCCUGUGUCUUCCUUGCACCUGCUGAAAUGUAGCUUUGAUGUGGUCAAGCGCUGGGUGAAUGAGGCUCAGAAGGUGGCAUCCAGUGACAACCUCAUCGUCCAGCACCGCGCACUAGGGCUCCUGUACCACAUGUGUAAGAUUGACUGCCUGGCUGUCAAUAAGAUGAUCAGCAAGGUCACCCGGCAUAGCCGUAAGUCUUCCUUUGCCUCUUGCACGAUGAUCUAGGUGGCCAGCAAGCAGCUGAAGGAGGAGGAUGGCAGCCGUGACAGUCCACUGUUUGAUCUCAUCGAGCGCUGCUUGUGCAACAGGCGUGAGAUGGUGGUGUGUGAAGCUGCCUCGGCCAUCAUCAACCUGCCAGGCUGCAGUGCCAAGGAGCUGCCCCGGCUGUGCCAGUGCUCCAGCUUUUCUGCAGCUCACCCAAGGCUACUCUCUGUUAUGCAGCUGUUCACACCCUCGAUAAGGUUGCCAUGAAGCAUCUGUCAGCUGUGACAGCUUGCAGUCUGGAUCUGGAGCACCUGGUCAAAGAUUCAAACCGCAGCAUCGCCAGCUGGCCAUCACCACCCUCCUUAAGCCAGGCAGUGAGAGCAGCAUCAACCACCUUAUGAAGCAGAUGUCCUCCUUCUUGUCAGAGAUCUCAGAUGAAUUCAAGGUGGUGGUUGUCCAGGCCAUCAGUGCCCUGUGUCAGAAGUAUCCUCACAAAAAUGGCAUCCUCAUGAACUUCCUGCUCACCGUGCUCCAGGAAGAGGGUGGCUGUGAGUACAAGCGUGCCACUGUGGACGGCAUCAUCAGCAUCACUGAGGAGAACUCAGAGAGCAAGGAGACAGGGCUGUCACAUCUGUGCGAGUUCAUUGAGGACUGCGAGUUCACAGUGUUGGCCACCCAUCUUCUGCAUCUCCUGGGCCAGGAGGGGCCCAAGACCACCAACCCUCAAAGUACAUCCACUUCAUCUAUAACCCAGUGGUCUUGGAGCAUGAGGAGGUCUGGGCAGGAGCUGAGAGUGCUCUGGCCAAGUCUGGAGCCCAGAAUGAAGGUGUUACCCAGUAUCUUGGCAUUGCUGAAGAGGUAUGUGAUGAAAUAAGACACUGAGCCACCUUCUAUCUAAAAGUCCUGGAGCGAAGCAGAAGGCCCUCAAUGCAGGCUAUAUCCUAAAUGGUCUGACUGUGUCUGUCCCUGAUCUGGAGAGGGCUUUGCAACAGUACAUGCUAGAACAAUCAGAAAAACCUUUUGACCUCAAGUCUGUGCCCCUCACCACGGUGCCCGUGGCAGAGCAGAGAACAGAAAGCACCCCCAUCACCGCAAACAGCCUGAGAAAGUGGCAGCUACCAGGACGUCUUCCAGGAGCAGUUGGUGGCAGGGCCAGAGUUCCAGGGACUUGGGCCCCUCUUCAAGUCCUCGCCUGAGCCCAUGGCCCUCACCGAGUCAGAGACUGAGUAUGUCAUUGGCUGCACCAAACACACCUUCAUCGGUCACAUGGUGUUUCAGUGUGACUGCACAAACACACUCAAUGACCAGACCCCGGAGAAUGUCACAGUGCAGACGGAGCCCACUGAGGCCUGUGAGAUGCCUGCCCAGAGCUUGCCCUACAACCCGCCUGGUACCUGCUACACACUGGUGGCACUGGCCAAAGGAGACCCCACAGCUGUGGCUUGCACAUUCAUCUGCAUGAUGAAGUUCACUGUCAAGGACUGUGAUCCCACAACCGGGGAGACCGAUGGCGAAGGCUAUGAGGAUGAGUAUGUGCUGGAAGAUCUGGAAGUUACUGUAGCUGACCAUAUUCAAAAGGUCAUGAAACUGAACUUAAAAGCAGCCUGGGAUGAGGCAGGGGAUGAAUUUGGGAAGGAGGAAAUGUUCGCCUUGUCUACCCUUAAGACACUUAGAGAGGCUGUGGAUAACAUCGUGAAGUUCUUGGGAGUGCACCCUUGUGAGAGGUCAGAGAAGGUGCUGGAUGACAACACCCACACGUUGCUCCUGGGUGGUGUGUUCUGGGGUGGUCGUGACAUCCUGGUGUGCUCUCAGCUGCUGCUUUUGGACACAGUGACAAUGCAGGCGACAGCCAGAAGUUUGGAGGUGCUGCCAGUAGACAUCACUUUGGCAUCUGUGGGCUAAGGGGCCAGCCUGCAUAGGACCUUAUACCCUUCCCCAACACUAUCUGGAAGUCAUGCCUUCCUUAUGAAACUGGUGGAAAUCCCUUCCCAAGCUUCUGUAUUCAAAAACAAUUAGGAAUCAUUGCAGAUACAUAUAUUUUUUAUUCUGCCUCCCUGUUCAGGACUACUUCAGGGUGACUAUUUUUUUUUUUUUUUUUUUUUUUUUAAUAGGGGAUGAUUUUAAAGCUUGUCCUAAAUCUUGCUAUCCUCCCUUCCGGGAAAGGGACAUCAUAAAGGAAUAAAACAUUCUCAACUCUUUUUGAACUUAUCCCCCCAGAGGCCAUCUUAUCCCUGUAAUAAAUCAGCAUGUAUCUAUAAAAAAAAAAGAAGAAAGAAAAAGAAAGAAGGAAAAAGACAGACAAGAAAAGAAAAAUCUCCAUCAAAUGUGGUGGCUCAUAUCUGUAAUCCCAGCAUUUUGGGAGGCUCAGACAAGAAAAUCGCUUGUGCCCAGGAGUUCAAGACAAGCGUGGGCAACAGCUGGGAGAGAAUCCUCAUCACUACAAAAAACCAAAAUUGUAGCCAGGUGUGAUGGUGCACACCUGUGGUCACAGCAGCUACUGCAAAGGCUGAGGUGGGAAGAUCACUUGAGCUCAAGUGACAGAGCCUGGGCUGGGCCAUAAUCCUGCCACUGCAUUCCAACCUGGGAGACGGAGUGGGACCCUGCCCCAGUAAAGACACAGAUUCUCAAAUCACUCAAACCAUUUUAUUCUAAACAUUUAUAAACGGUGUUUUUGUUGUUGUUGUUUUUCCUUUUUUUUUUUUUUUUUUUUUUUUUUGAGACACAGUGUCACUCCAUC